rnacentral:rRNA from 1 species
AUUGAACGCUGGCGGCAUGCCUUACACAUGCAAGUCGAACGGCAGCACGGGAGCAAUCCUGGUGGCGAGUGGCGAACGGGUGAGUAAUAUAUCGGAACGUGCCCGGUCGUGGGGGAUAACGUAGCGAAAGCUACGCUAAUACCGCAUACGAUCUACGGAUGAAAGCGGGGGAUCGCAAGACCUCGCGCGAUUGGAGCGGCCGAUAUCAGAUUAGGUAGUUGGUGAGGUAAAGGCUCACCAAGCCGACGAUCUGUAGCUGGUCUGAGAGGACGACCAGCCACACUGGGACUGAGACACGGUCCAGACUCCUACGGGAGGCAGCAGUGGGGAAUUUUGGACAAUGGGCGCAAGCCUGAUCCAGCAAUGCCGCGUGCAGGAUGAAGGCCUCGGUU